AUACUUACCUGGCAGGGGAGACACCAUGAUCAUGAAGGUGGUUUUCCCAGGGUGAGGCUCAUCCAUUGCACUCGGGGUGUGCUGACCCCUGCAAUUUCCCCAAAUGCGGGAAACUCAACUGCAUAAUUUGUGGUAGUNNGGGACUGCGUUCGCGCUUUCCCCUC
rnacentral:snRNA from 1 species